rnacentral:lncRNA from 1 species
CAAGCUUCGGUACAUUGUUUUGGAUCAGUAGUGCUUUGAAAACUACGUCGGAACUCCGGUAUCAAUCAUCCCAUCACUCGGUCUAUCCAUAGGUGUGUAUCCUGACUGUGGGAAAUUUCCCCCCAAAUUAUUGCCUGCAAUAUUCAACAACAGAUUACAUUAGUGUUACUCAAAUCUUGCAGAUGUUGGUGGACUGUAUAUUCUUCAGAUUACGUUUUACUUUAUGUGUUUGCUCCCGUGUGCUGGUAAGGGCACAGAUGAGACAGGUAGGAUUCCAGUUGAGGUGGUUUAAUAACGCUGAAGAUGCACAGGCAUGGAACAGCACCGCACACUGUAUGUAGUCGAUGGGCUAUAAGGCACUUAGUGGUCUGGCAUCUUGCUUCAGCCAAAGUGUGUGUGUGUGGUCUGCAAAUAAAGAGAGAAAUAAAGAUACAAUAGUGAAUGACAGAAUACAAAACACAUAUCCUAUAAACAAUAUGCAUGGCUAUAACAUGACUGUGACGACUUAAUGAUGUACAGGACCAUACAGCGCAAUAAAACGUGAAUGUGACUGCACUAAUUUAAGAUUAAAGUGGUGCCGCUGCACUAGUGAUAGGCAUUCCAGCUCUUUUCAGUGAGCCGGCUCGUUCGGCUCAGCUCACCAAAAAGUGCCGGCUCUUUUGGCCCCCAAACGACUCUUUAAAAAAUAUAUGUUUUGUAUUUUUUAAAGUCAGACAUUUAGCGAUAGUUUCACUAUGAUUGGUGUUAAACAAUUCUAAUUAAAUUAUUAAAUGAUAUCAUACUCUACCUUAACCACAAUGUAUUUAAAAAUGCAUUGGUUUGUUAUGAAAAAUAAUGCUAUUAAACAUUUGAAGUAUAACUUUUUAAUGUAUAUAAACAAAGUGCAUAUAAAUCUAACCAUUGAAAACGAAUACAAUCUGAACAGCAUAAUAUAAUAUUGCACCUUAUCAAAGAAAAAUAAAUAACAAUUUGGAAAACUGCAGCAUCCCACAAAUUGAAAUAAAUGUAAAAAAGAAGGAUGCUAUUACACAUGUGCAUUUAAAGUAUACAUUUUUUAAUGUAUAUAAACAAAGUGCAUAUAAAUGUAACAAUUCAAAACGAAUAUAAUCUGAACAAUAUAAUAAUAGAAUAUUGCUCCAUAUCAAAGAAAAAUAAAUAAUGUGCAAAACUGCAGCAUCCCACUUAAAACAUUAAACUGGUCCCUCUUUUCUCUCUCUUUAUUGUCAUGUUAUAACCAGCAGCACACAGCAAUGCUGACCAUAUUUAGCUUUUAUGAGAGAUUUUCAUUCAGAAAUGCAAGCUGCCUCACUUUUGUGGGGCUGAUGGGGUUUCUUCUCUCAGUAAUUAUUUGUCCCGUUUUCGAGAAGACCCUCUCAGAGGGAACGGAUGUGACCACUAUGCAGAGUCUCCCUGUCAUGACUUUAGUAAGCUGUGGGUAGACAGAGGCCUUGUUCUUUCACCAGCUCCAGGGGCUCCUCCAAAUAGGAUCGGACCUCCAUUAUGGCAUCUGCUGAGGGAUUCCUUCGUGCUGCAUCCCCAGUUGUUCUCUCAUCAAACAGCAUCCAAACAGCAGACGUUUGUGGCACUACUGCUGGUGCUUCUGCUCCAUCUGCUCCAUCUUCUUCCUGGUGCCUGAGCCAGCUGACUGCUGGGGCUGUCCCUCCCUGCUGCUGAGUGACCUGCUCAAAGGGUUCCAGGACUCUGCACACCUCAUUCACCACCUCCCAUUCCUCUUGGGCCAGAGCAUCAACAGGUGCAUUGUGACAAUGGCCAGGGUAGAGAUGAUGGCAUCCUUUGACUCAAGAAGCCGCUUCAACAUAUACAAUGUUGAAUUCCACCUUGUAGUGCAGUCUUGUUUAGGCCUCAGCUCAGGCAUCCCCAUCUGGCAUUGUGUAGACUAGUUUUUCAGCACUUACUGUGCUCCUGUGGUGGAAGUAUUCCACAGCUGCUUUCACUUUGUCCACAGUGGGCUUCAUCACCUUCAGAGCAUCUCUUACAAUCAGUCCACCUGGCCGUGCUGCUGCUCCAGUUUCAACUGUUCUGCCUGCGGCUAUGGAACCCUGACCUGUUCACCGGACGUGCUUGUUGCACCCUUGACAACUAUUAUGAUUAUUAUUAUUUGACCAUGCUGGUCAUUUAUGAACAUUUUAACAUUUUAACAUCUUGACCAUGUUCUGUUAUAAUAUCCACCCUGCACAGCCAGAAGAGGACUGGCCACCCCUCAUAGCCUGGUUCCUCUCUAGGUUUCUUCCUAGGUUUUUGGCCUUUUCUAGGGAGUUUUUCCUAGGGAGUUUUUCCUAGCCACCGUGCUUCUUUCACAUGUUUUGCUUGCUGUUUGGGGUUUUAGGCUGGGUUUCUGUACAGCACUUUGAGAUAUCAGCUGAUGUACGAAGGGCUAUAUAAAAAUAAAUUUGAUUUGAUUUGAUUUGAUAUGGAACAAUGGGUCAAUAUUACACAGAAACAAGAUGUUAUUUAAUCAUAAAUGGUUCUCGAAAAACAUUGUACUUGUCAGCCAAUUAGUUAAUAUUAGUGGGAAUCUAUUUACACGGAGAGAAUUUAUGGAAAGAUACAACUUUGAAGUUUCAAGCAAGGAUUAUGUCACUGUUAUUAAAGCUAUACCUAGUGGGAUAAAAACUUUACUUCAGAAUAAUGCAUAUUUUGGAAUAUCUCCGAUUGUAAGAGAUAUCCAGGUGAAUGGCAUUGGUCUACUAGAUACAAAUUCAACAAUCGUUCAUUAAGGGAUAUUUUCUACAGGAAGUCUAUUCCCUCUGCGAUAUUUUGUUGGGCUUCAUCGUUUGAUGUAAACUGGCGCCGUGCUUGGCUCACUCCACACAAAUUUAUGGUGACCAAUAAAGCAAAGGAGAUCUCCUUUAAGAUUAUCCAUAGAUUCUAUCCGUGUAAUAGCUUGAUUUCUAAGUAUAUACCUGAUGUUACCACUGAAUGCAGUUUUUGUGAACCAGAAACUGAAUCUUUUGAACACUUAUUCUGUCAUUGUUUAUAUAGUGAAGUGUUCUGGACUGAUGUAAAACUAUAUCUUGGCCUCAAAUUGCAUACAACCAUUGAAAUGUCUAAGUUUGACAUAUUAUUUUAC